UUUUUUGUUUUUGAACAGGAGAGUAAGCUAGAUUCGAAGAACUUAGUAAGAGCUCGAUUUUUUCCGACAGGUCAAAUCGCAAAGUUACCACUAGAACUAGCCCCACUUUGCACAAAAACGAUAAGUUGAUAACUCUUAACAACCUUCCCUACGUAGGGUGACUGACGUGUGUCUCUUUCGCUCACCCCACAUUAUGGACAUUUAUCUAUCACCAUAUAUGGUUCACGAUCCAAGAAAAAAACGUUAGGUCAUCAAUUGGCGUCUGUACAUUCUUUCUUUAACAUCAGAAAUUCUCUCGCAUGAUGAUUUACACAACCAACUACUUAUGAUUCUUCUUCUGAAAUAUUCAUCUAUACAAAUUUCAACGAAUCUUUCGUUAAUAAUCUUUUGUUCAUAAUCAUUCUCGAUUCACCUGGUAAGAACUGUACAAUCAAACUUCAUUAACAAAUUAAUACAAACGCUAGUUAAUUGCAUGAAGAUUGAGACAUAAAAAUAAUAAUAACUAAAGUAAACAAUUCAAUUAAAUAUAUGAUGACAUACAAAUUUAAGCAGCUGCGGCAAAUUUUUUCUUGAUAUCAAAGUUGUCAUCUUUGUUGCAUCGAAACGCCAAAUUACUAGUGUUUCACGUUUCAUAAAGGUUUCAUUUCCGAAACGUGUCUAAAACGCGUUUCCACCGCAGAAGGAUCUCGAAAUGUGGCUGAAACGCUUAGGAGCACCGUCUCAGGCAUCCUUCUGCCCAAGUUGUUGUUAUGCGUGACCUCCAAAUUUGCCCAGCUUUCCAUAAUCACGACGCUGACUAGUAUGAAACACUAUGGGUACUCAUCUCUCUUCCUUCCUCCUAAUCUCGAUCUCUUUUCAAGCUUUAUAAUCAACCCAAACCCUUAAUCCCCAAGCUUCUCUAACAAACCCAUCUGAUCAAUUGCUCUCUUUUCUCCUCCUCCAUCAAUUGAUAUAAGGUUGAAAUCCGACCAAAAACCCACCCAAAAUAGGCGACAUGCAUCGGAGGCGAGGAUGGGCAUAUGGUUGUUGUGGUGAUUGAUAUCGGUGGUGGUGGGCUCCGAAUUAGAAUUAGAAGAGGGUUGAGUUUUGGUGGGAUUGAAAGUGGAGGGGAAGAAUUUAUGUGACCAUGGAGGCUAGGGGAGAGAAAGUUAAAAAACCAGAAACGGGCUGAGUAAAUGGUGAGAGAAAGGAGUGAGAGAUAAAAAGGACCUUUUGUUUUAUCUUUAUUACUAAUAAGUAAUAACUAUUUUGUUUUGUUUUCUCAAUC
rnacentral:lncRNA from 1 species